AUACAGGGUCUUUCCCUUCCUGCUGGCCCAUCAUGACGCCACGUCUGCAGGCACUGAACCCAAUGGCAUCUGCGAGCAGUACCCUUCAAAGUAUAAACAGCGGCAUGCUGUGAUUGCUAGGGCCAACCACUAGGGGUAGACAUAAACACACUCACUAAACCUGGGUGACCGCCUGCACCAAACGGCCCUCGAGGGCUGGUUUCAGGGAACAGUGCUUAUCGUCAUAGGCGGAUUCAGUGUAUGCAGAGCAAUAGCGCCACCACCUUUGCAGAUCUCCCACCAGAACUGUUCCCCCAGCGAGGUCUCCAUCUUGCCAAUCCCUUCGAACGUCCCUUUCACCGUAUGGAUGAACCAGACCUACAAAUGAUACGAGGGGCAAAUUACUGGGACAGGAGAAGAGACAGCUGUGGCAGCCACAUCAGAAGAUGAGACGUUGGUGAUGUCAAGAGGAUCAGGCCUUCAUCCUGUGGUGGACUAAACACACCAGGGAACCUUAAUGGGCAAGGAUGUUCCAAGUGGCAAACAGCCACCAAUCAUCAGGAUUAAUAGUCAAACACACAGAGCGAAGCUUUGGGAAUAAUACUGCAGAAACAGUCCUGUAGGCACAGAAGCAAACAGAAUCAAAUCAGUAUUCCGUGUGGCCAAAUCUUCACUGUAUUACCUUAGUGGGAAUUUGGAUAGUAUUACCCAGAAUGCUCCCUGCUGCAACUUUGCCUUGAAAAACAAUCCGUUUCUGCGCUCAGCAUUAAGUGACUGCAUUAUUAGGAUUUAACUUUGAACUUCAACAUUUGGAAUCCAUUAUUUAAUCAUUAAUUUCCUCCAGUUUCCCCCAACUAGCUUUACUGCUUCAUGUUAGAUCUCUGGGCGCUGUGGUCCCAGCCACACGUCUAUCCAACAGUUUGUGCUUCAGCAGUUCAGUGUUCCAUCAAUCUUUCCUACAGCAAAAGCCUCUGUUUAUAUUAACCACUGAGCCAACGGUGUGCACCGGCUUGAGAGUGCAAAAAUAGAUAAUUCUCUCCCCCCUGUAGGCCUCUCCCAUAGAUCAUUCUGAGUUUGGUCUGUUAGAACCCCUUCAAGGGAAAAGUGACACCGUGAAAAUGACCUCGUGGGGCUCCAGUGUUUGGUGUUGGAUUCCUUCAGUUUAUGAAUCAAGAGCUGAUUUUUUUUUCCUGACUGCCAUCAUGGUGGAAACCAGCCGGGGAUCUGAAAGUCAAGCUGUGUUCUUUCUGGUGCU